rnacentral:rRNA from 1 species
CGUGUAGGCGGUGUAGUAAGUCGGAUGUGAAAUCCCCGGGCUCAACCUGGGAAUUGCAUUUGAUACUGGGUAGCUAGAGUUUGGUAGAGGUAAGUGGAAUUCCGGGUGUAGCGGUGAAAUGCGUAGAUAUCCGGAGGAACAUCAGUGGCGAAGGCGGCUUACUGGACCAAAACUGACGCUGAGGCUCGAAAGCGUGGGGAGCAAACAGGAUUAGAUACCCUGGUAGUCC